rnacentral:pre_miRNA from 1 species
UUACUACUCCCUCCGUUCGAAAUUACUUGUCACAAAAAUGAAUGUAUCUACAACUAAAAUACAUCUAUAUACAUUCAUUUCUUGGAUGAGUAAUUCCGAACGGAGGGAGUAGUUA